AACGAUGAAACUUAAAAGAUUUCUUCGGAAUGAACUUAAGUGAAUUAGUGGCGAACGGGUGAGUAACGCGUGAGUAACCUGCCUUACACAAGGGGAUAGCCUCUGGAAACGGAGAAUAAUACCCUAUGAAACUAUCUUAUCGCAUGAAAAGAUAGUCAAAGUGUUUUAGCGGUGUAAGAUGGACUUGCGUCUGAUUAGCUAGUUGGUGAGAUAACAGCCCACCAAGGCAACGAUCAGUAGCCGGCUUGAGAGAGUGUACGGCCACAUUGGGACUGAGACACGGCCCAGACUCCUACGGGAGGCAGCAGUGGGGAAUUUUGCACAAUGGGGGCAACCCUGAUGCAGCGACGCCGCGUGAUUUAGAAGGCCUUCGGGUUGUAAAAAUCUUUUGUAUAGGAAGAAGAUGACAGUACUAUACGAAUAAGGUCCGGCUAAUUACGUGCCAGCAGCCGCGGUAAUACGUAAGGACCGAGCGUUGUCCGGAAUCAUUGGGCGUAAAGGGUACGUAGGCGGUUAGAAAAGUUAGAAGUGAAAGGCUAUAGCUCAACUAUAGUGAGCUUUUAAAACUGUUUAACUUGAGAGAUGGAAGGGAAAGUGGAAUUCCUAGUGUAGCGGUGAAAUGCGCAGAUAUUAGGAGGAAUACCGGUGGCGAAGGCGACUUUCUGGCCAUUAUCUGACGCUGAGGUACGAAAGCGUGGGUAGCAAACAGGAUUAGAUACCCUGGU
rnacentral:rRNA from 1 species